rnacentral:rRNA from 1 species
GACGAACGCUGGCGGCGUGCCUAAUACAUGCAAGUUGAGCGCUGAAGGUUGGUACUUGUACCAACUGGAUGAGCAGCGAACGGGUGAGUAACGCGUGGGGAAUCUGCCUUUGAGCGGGGGACAACAUUUGGAAACGAAUGCUAAUACCGCAUAAAAACUUUAAACACAAGUUUUAAGGUUGAAAGAUGCAAUUGCAUCACUCAAAGAUGAUCCCGCGUUGUAUUAGCUAGUUGGUGAGGUAAAGGCUCACCAAGGCGAUGAUACAUAGCCGACCUGAGAGGGUGAUCGGCCACAUUGGGACUGAGACACGGCCCAAACUCCUACGGGAGGCAGCAGUAGGGAAUCUUCGGCCAUGGACGAAAGUCUGACCGAGCAACGCCGCGUGAGUGAAGAAGGUUUUCGGAUCGUAAAACUCUGUUGGUAGAGAAGAACGUUGGUGAGAGUGGAAAGCUCAUCAAGUGACGGUAACUACCCAGAAAGGGACGGCUAACUACGUG